rnacentral:rRNA from 1 species
GGGUUGUGAGGUUAAGCGACUAAGCGUACACGGUGGAUGCCUAGGCAGUCAGAGGCGAUGAAGGGCGUGCUAAUCUGCGAUAAGCGUCGGUAAGC